GGGUGGGCAACAGGAGCUGCGGCUUCUUGUGCCUUAGGGUUCCCUAACCCAGAGCCUUUGGCUCCCUGAGGAUGGCGGUGAGGGAGGACAGGCGCAGGACCCCAGGGACUCCCAGGUCCUCAGGAAGGGAACUGCGAGGCUCCUGAAAACCAGCUCUGUCCUGCUGCUUAAGGCAAGAGCGUCCAGUGGUGUGGGAGCCACACGGAUCGGCCUGGGACACACGGGCCCCCCGGCUGCUGGCCUGGCUCCCCAGCUCUCAGGACAGCAUGCUGCAGUGGGGUCAGCAAGCUUCUGCAAGCCCUGCAGCCCCAGCUCCCGAAGUGGAGAAACCCCGCGGAGUCGGUCCUUCUCAAUGCCAGAACCGUCCGGAAAGGAGAAGCGGAGUGAGGUGAGGAGACUGGACUGCGUCCUCCCGCCAGGUGCAGGCCACAGGCCGCCCCCUUGCCCUGCGCCCCGCUGUCCUCCUCCCAUCCCGGCAGCUGACAGCCCGGCCUUGCUCACCACCUAGGAGCACCCAUGACCAGCCCUGGCUGCACUCGGGCCUCCGCCUCCCUGAUCUGGGAGUCCUGGUUGGUCCUGGAAGGCACCCUGCAGACGGCCCCCUGACAUAGCCUCUCGUGGUCUAGCUCGCCCCAGGCCAGUAGUCUCCAGGUCACGUGCCCGUCGCAGUGAGGGGCAGGGGGCCUCCAGCGGCCUGUCUGGGAGACCCCACCUGCAGGGACCGUGCUGUGGCCCAUGGGUGACGCUUUCUGGGGGAUCUUGGUCCCUCUGCUGCCCUAAUACUCAGGCUCGCACCUUCCCUCCCUGACCCCCCCCCCACCCCACUCCCAUCUCUGCCUCUGCCCC
rnacentral:lncRNA from 12 species